rnacentral:rRNA from 1 species
UACAGAGGCCUCGAGCGUUAGGCGGAAUCACUGGGCUUAAAGCGUGUGUAGGCGGACUUCUAAGUACCUUGUGAAAUCCCCGGGCUCAACCUGGGAACUGCAUCUGUGACUGCAUCGCUGGAGUGCGGCAGAGGGGGAUGGAAUUCCGCGUGUAGCAGUGAAAUGCGUAGAUAUGCGGAGGAACACCGAUGGCGAAGGCAAUCCCCUGGGCCUGCACUGACGCUCAUGCACGAAAGCGUGGGGAGCAAACAGG